UCCUACUGCGGUUGUGACCUUCAUCCCUGCCGCCAGUGCAUACUUGGAACACUACGGAAGUAAUGUCCUGUAAGCUGGCCCUGGAGCCUGGCAAUCUUCUGCAAUCGCAGCAUGGUCUAAUAUCCAGUAAUUGCGUUCAUAGACUUCGUGUGCGAAUGUAUCUGCAAGGACUACGCGGAUGAUCGCGCUGGUGACUAGAUGGUCACUAGAGUGCCCUGCAGUCCCAUAUGCAUGAUUUGAAAUAGUGAGGCUAUGGGCAUUUUACGCUAAGAAGUUCCUGAUGACUCCAAACGAUCGGGGACCUUCUCCCUAUUAUGAGGAGGCGUGGCACUAUAGCGAUUUAAUAAUAAAUUGACUACAAAAUAACGUUGAAAAAGGAGUCCUUGACAACAAUCUGACUGCAAGUGAUCGGGGAUAUUCUUGCAAAUCCGAGACGGCGUGGCACGAUCAGAUCGAUCCAAGGAAUGGCUGAGAAAACUAAAUAUGAUGAAAAAUAUGCUCCUUGAUGCGGAGGGACUCCAUCAAAUCAGGGAAGUUGUUUGAUGACAGGAAAACAUCGCACGUCUUGAUCUUCCAAUCGUCCAAUCCUCAACAUACACAUUUUCUACAUGCGAACUGCAUAUCGGAUGAAAUUAUCAACAGAUACCCGUGAACGGGUUCCGAAAGGAAGAAGAUUUUGAUUCCAACUGAUCAGAAACUCGAUGAUGAUCACGAUAGAGGUGAUAGAUGCUACAAAAUGGCACUUCUAUGUAACAUAAAAGCAUGCCGAAAACGCA
rnacentral:sRNA from 1 species